rnacentral:tRNA from 2 species
GUUUUAAUAGUUUAAUCAAAACGUUGGUCUUGUAAACCAAAAUUAAGGACUCUUUUAAAACU